GUCAACAACUCACCGCUAAGUCUUGUCAGACUAUAGCGGGAGCUUGUGAAAGCUCAUAGUUGACCAGACUAAGACCUAGUAAUGGUCUACGUUAUUCGAGUCAUAACACCUGUAGAUGCGUGCCAGUCUUCAGCUCUGUUGUUAACAAUUAAACAUCUGUAGUGAGUUAAGGAAGUGUUGUUAACCUGAAAAGCUCUUAUAACAUUGUCGUUCGCGCAAGCGUGUGCUUUGCACAGGCAAACUUUAC
rfam:Lyngbya majuscula 3L genomic scaffold scf52116, whole genome shotgun sequence.